rnacentral:rRNA from 1 species
GGCGGCGUGCUUAACACAUGCAAGUCGAACGAUGAAGUGGAGCUUGCUCCACGGAUUAGUGGCGAACGGGUGAGGAACACGUGAGAAACCUGCCUCGGAUUUUGGGAUAACAAAUGGAAACGUUUGCUAAUACCAAAUAACGUCGGAGAGUCACAUGACUUUCUGACGAAAGGAAUUCCGAUUCGAGAGGGUCUCGCGGCCUAUCAGCUUGUUGGCGGGGUAAUGGCCCACCAAGGCAACGACGGGUAGAUGGUCUGAGAGGAUGGUCAGCCACACUGGGACUGAGACACGGCCCAGACUCCUACGGGAGGCAGCAGUGGGGAAUCUUGCGCAAUGGGCGAAAGCCUGACGCAGCAACGCCGCGUGCGGGAAGAAGGCUUUCGGGCUGUAAACCGCUUUCAGCAGGAACGAAAAUGACGGUACCUGCAGAAGAAGGAGCGGCCAACUAUGUGCCAGCAGCCGCGGUGAUACAUAGGCUUCAAGCGUUGUCCGGAUUUAUUGGGCGUAAAGAGUUCGUAGGCGGUCGAGUAAGUCGGGUGUGAAAAUUCUGGGCUCCACCCAGA